GCUCAGGGUGUCGAGGUUGUCGUGCUGCGUUGCCGAGUUCAUCCGGUGGCGUGUUAACGCCCGCUGCUGGUGCAAUCUCGGUCGUAGUUGGACCGUCAGUCGGGAAGAGUCUGUGGCCUGUUGAUCGGUGAUGGGGAGGUAGGCCUCGUGGUUGUCUUCGGGCUCCCGGGGUCACGUAUAGCCCUUUGCCGUGGUCUCAGUCGUCUUUCAGGUGUGUUGGAUGGCCGUUCGUCCAUGAUUGGUAGGUGCAGUCUCUCCUUGUGGGAGGUCGGGCCUUCGCUGAGGUUGCUCGGCGUCUUGGAGUUGUGUUCCGUUCUCUCGCCGUAGACUUGUUCUGCGGUGCAGGGUGCGGCACUGCCCUUGGCGUUGUGUCCCGAGGUGUUGAGUCCAAGUUCUGUGCCAAGGUGACUGGCGAAGAGUCGUUACUCUGUGC
rnacentral:rRNA from 1 species